CGCGUAGGCGGAUAUUUAAGUUGAUUGUGAAAUCCCUGGGCUUAACCUAGGAAUUGCAGUCAAUACUGGGUAUCUGGAGUAUGAUAGAGGAAAGUGGAAUUCCCGGUGUAGCGGUGAAAUGCGUAGAUAUCGGGAGGAACAUCAGUGGCGAAGGCGACUUUCUGGAUCAAUACUGACGCUGAGGCGCGAAAGCGUGGGGAGCAAACA
rnacentral:rRNA from 1 species